AGAGUUUGAUCCUGGCUCAGGAUGAACGCUGGCGGCGUGCCUAACACAUGCAAGUCGAACGGGAUCCCUUGGAUUCGUCUGAGGGUGAGAGUGGCGAACGGGUGAGUAACACGUAGGUGACCUGCCCCGAAGUGGGGAAUAACCAUUGGAAACGGUGGCUAAUACCCCAUAUGCUCGACGGUUCGGUCUGUCGAGUAAAGUUCUGGCGCUUCGGGAGGGGCCUGCGGCCCAUCAGGUAGUUGGUAGGGUAAUGGCCUACCAAGCCUAUGACGGGUAGGGGGCGUGAGAGCGUGAUCCCCCACACUGGCACUGAGACACGGGCCAGACUCCUACGGGAGGCAGCAGUGAGGAAUAUUGCCCAAUGGACGCAAGUCUGAGGCAGCAACGCCGCGUGGGCGACGAAGGCCUUCGGGUUGUAAAGCCCUUUUCUGAGGGACGAGAAAGGACGGUACCUCAGGAAUAAGUCACGGCUAACUACGUGCCAGCAGCCGCGGUAAUACGUAGGUGGCCAGCGUUAUCCGGAUUUACUGGGCGUAAAGCGCGUGCAGGCGGUUCUGUAAGUCGGACGUGAAAGCUCCUGGCUUAACUGGGAGAGGUCGUUCGAUACUGCGGGGCUUGAGGUCGGGAGAGGGACGUGGAAUUCCCGGUGUAGUGGUGGAAUGCGUAGAUAUCGGGAGGAACACCAGUGGCGAAGGCGGCGUCCUGGCCCGCACCUGACGCUAAGACGCGAAAGCGUGGGUAGCGAACGGGAUUAGAUACCCCGGUAGUCC
rnacentral:rRNA from 1 species